GAGGAAAAUUCACGCGCCGGCCGCUCCUAGUAUUAUUAAAAUCAUUAUUUCCUUCUUUUCGGUAUUCGUACCUGCGGAAAUAAAUAGGAUGCGUGUGCAAGGGGAGAGUGCCGUAUUAUUUUCGAGGCACGAACCAAAAAAAAAAAAAUGGAAUUUGCACUGGAACGACGUCGCGAAUGGAUGGAAACGGAAGUAUUACGGUCAAAGUGAGAGAAAAAAGGCGGACAGUGGAGGGACGAUAGAUAAAGAGAAUCGAGGGGGGCGAACAGGUGAGAGAAAGACAAACAUUAUAACGUGACGAACUCAAUGCCGUGCGCAUCCUGAAAUCAGUCAUUCGGAAAGUUUCUAACUGUCACCUACAUUCGCAGCGCUCUUCAUUCUACGUAUGUUUUACAAUGGAUUCCAUCGAUUACAGAACGAAGUGAUAAAAAGUAGAUUAUAAUGUAGAGGAAAUAGUAGAUUCCGAGUUCUGUGUUCGAUAAUGAAUCGUCGUUUCUUUAUAGUUUACGAUAAUAAUUUCAUAGUUGAAAUUCUAUUUUCUUUUGAAGCAAGAAAGAGGAACCUUUCUCAAAUUGUUGUUGAAAUUCUUCGAGAAUCGUUAUAAAUAAAUGCCUGAUAAAAAAUAUCAUGCACGUGUCAUUUUAUACUAGCUCAGCUAAUCGCACGUUACGAGUUUGAAUAAAUGAAUGGCCUCUACGAGACGUUCACCUUCGUGUAAAUAAAUAAUUUUACAUUAUUCCAAGUAGUACAUUAUUCAUACCGUUGCGAUUUAAUUCAUAUUUCGAAAUUGUAUGAAUAAUUCAGAGUACGCAAUUUCGCUGAAUUAAUUAAAUGCCACUUUUGUACAACGUUAAUAUUCAAAUGUAGAUCCCGCGGACGCGAAACAAAAAUCGUCGGGACGUCGAAUAAUAUCGGGGACCGUGGACAAUCAAUCGCUGACGAUGACUGUCCGCUAUUAAGCAUAUUCAAUGAAGUAGCGAUUGACAAGAGACGUAUUUCGUGAUCGACAGGAAUUGCGGCGCAUUUCACCCGGGCUGCCGAGAGGUUCGGCAAAAUUAAUCACGCCGCUCCGCGCCACGCCGACUCGGUAUCCCCACGAUUGAUGGUCGCGGCGGACUCAAAAACCGAAAGCGUGAAUAUUCACGGGCCACGGCCUCAUUUCUAUUUCGCUAGCCGCGCCGAUCACCGUUGUCCGAAAUAAAUAACACGAAAUACGUCAUCCACGAUGCAUCUACGUGUCAUCUAUCGCGUCGCUCGGUCCUCGUCGCGAAUGGUACUCCAGGGAAUUAUGCGGGGAAGACCAGCGCAACGAGGAUUCACGCGAAAAUACUGGUUAUAAUCGUGCUGAUUGCACCCAUGCAUCCAACCGACCACUAUUACUCCUGGAAUCUCCGCUUGACUUCAUCAUAAAUCAUAUUUGCAUUCUUAUUGUCAAAUGUUUCCUGAGAAUAUUAUCAAUUGAAAUUAAUAAAUCAAUUUAUACAUCCACUUGUUGAUAAUAAAUCUUGUAAAACGACGACGUUAUUUCUAUUGAGAUUUCGGUCUAAAGUUUAACACGUUGAAUGCCACGCUAAUUUUACAGGAAUUGUCCAUGGCGUCACUGCCAAGUUGAGUGCCGGUCACCGGUGACCUCCGUGGCAUUCAACGUGUUAAAGUAUGAUAGAUUCAUUUAAUUUAAGCGAAAUUGAAUGCCUUGUGCGAUAUAUGUAGUAUAUGUAGACCUAUACGAUUCUACAACACGGCACUAUGCGACAGUGUAUGUACCCUUAUGUAGGUCACAGGUCGAACCACGUCAGCAACUUUCAUUAGCUUUUAACAACUACAAUAAACAAGGAUGAACAUAUUGGCUAAACGAGGAAUGAAAACGGUCGGAUCAAUUCCUUUAACGCCGUUUAACGAAGCGUUGAAAUUUUUUACAACAAACGAGACUACCAAACGGAUGUAAGUUCUAAGAGAGGCUCUCCGGAUAUUAAUGAAGAGUAAUCAAACCGCGGUUGAACGGAAGGGAAACAGGUUCGCUGGUUUAAAAGUAAAGAUCAGUUGAAUCCGAUGUCUCGGCGAGGAAAAGUGAAAACGUCAGCGUCUGUAAAUUGUGUAACGACGGUGCCGACGUGUGCAAAUACGGUACGCGCGCGCACGUAUUCGCGCGGAUCUACGCGUGUGUAUUUACAUACGUGUCGCGAUUACCGAAGCAUCGUGAUACCGCGCGGACGGCGCGCGUGUGGAACCGUGGAAAAAGGUGGAGAGGAAACGGCAACAAAAAGUUUGCGGGUUGCACCGUUAUUUGCGCUCGUAAACAUGACUCGGCGCGCUCGCACGUCCGUGCGCUCGCUGCAAAGAAAGGAUCGCAUCAUUCACCCCAAAGAAUGAUUCUCCUUCGGUUAACGAGGACACACCCGGCGAGCUCGAUAAGGAAGACGAUGUCGAGUUGGCGAAAACAGGAUUCUAUAGAUCAGGGGAGAGAUUCGGACGACAAUGCGGAGGAACGAAAAAAAUUGACGAUCGUUUUCGUUCCAUGAUGCUGACCCAAAUUUCACCGCAGAGUUUCCGCAUCGUUGACGCAGCAAACGUUCCCGGUCCCCUUUCGCGUACGUCCCUUCCCAUCGUUCAACCCCGUCCCGAUCUACCGAUAAAAUCUAAUAUCCCCACGGUUUGUAAUUUCCAAUCCAGUCGUGAUUAUGGCAACAGCGUUUAUUGCCUCAGCUGGAAUGACACUCUUGAAUUCAAGAAUGCAUGACGUGUCGACAAUUCAAUAAUUUCAAGAUGAAUGAUAAGUCCGACUACUGGAAAAUACAAUGGAAUAUUGCCUCUUUGGAAAUAAAUUUUACAUACCAUUUAAAGUUCUAUCUAAAUAUCCUCGGUUUCGUUUAAAUAUUUACGAUGAAAGGUAGAAACAGGAAAAGCUAGGAGCUGUCCAGUUGUACGCGCUUAAGUGGCCGGAAAUAUUUCGCUUACACGGAAACACAACGGGCCUCGCUGCGUUGAACGAACAAUGUGCUUUUAACCUGGUCGAAUAAAAUGUUACGUCAGCCCAUCGAACGUUCAUCGGAAACCCGGCCUCGUUGGCUGACGGAUACCGAGGCCGGUCUGCUGCCCGAUAACGAAAUUAUCUUAAUCCGGGCCGAUCGAUUGACAGUUAGUCGAUUGCGCGGCAUUGCUAGAUGACUCUGAGUUGUACGGACUGACGGCCGUUGCAGCGGCGCGCCGUGUCCAUUGUGCACCGCACGGUGAAAUUGAUGUGUAUUUUGAUGCCCCGAAGUACACGAUAAUGUACCCAUUGAAAGACCCCUCGCGGUCAAGUCUCGCACCGAAGACGCGUAUAUAAUAAUGAAAAUGCGCUCUCCCGCAUGCAUGAAUGGCUCGUGGACCUGCCAGCAGAUAAUUAAUAUCUAAUGAGGCAGCAGUUAUGAAAGUCAACAAUUUCACAAAUUAAGAAGAUGUACUCAAAAGUAUGUAGCAAUCGUCUAGACUACGUGUACUGCGUACAUGCAUAGGAAAACUUGUAUAGAAUGAAUGUUACUUGUGUGUGACCUGUUUUUCCACGCUGCGUGCGAAUCUUACUAACAAUAAGAUUCAAGGCAAAUAAUUAACGAAUGCCUUUAUGUGUAACUCUUGGUCGAAGUAAUCGUUUCCACUUAUUUGUAGGAAGCAUACAAUUAUUUGAUAUACAAUACGACGGGUUUCCUAUUAUAAAAACAGCUCAUUAACUUGACAGGAAUCCUUAUUUAGAAUGCCGGUAGUUCGACUCGAUGUCAUGAUCUGUUUUUUGCGCUAUUAAUGCCUGAUUGCUUUUUAAUCGAUACGUCCUCCUCGAGGCAGACAGAUAUGUAAAGGAAAAAAUGCUAUUGGAAAUAAAACAAGAUAUGAGUAAUCAAUGCGUCUCGAUUCCUCAGUCGGAAGUUAUUAGUCACAGAUGAUUGAAAAUCAUAACAAGUUCGUAUUAAAUUCAGAUGAUAUUUUAUCCAUAUAAGAAUCGAUAUUUAAAAAAGUCUGAUGUUAAUCGAAUUGACAGACUAUUUUCGUGCUCUACAAAAAUUUCACACUAUUCCAACCGUAACUGAAAGCGGAAAUUAUAUAAGUGAUUCAAGACCUUGCUACUGGUGCAUAAUUUCGUAAACGGUGCGCGCUGUGAACCUUGUCCUCCUUCCAGUAAGAAGAAUUAUUUGUCUGUAAGACGUUCCACGAAAUUCAAGCGAUAACAUUGUAAUUCGAUGUACGUGUAAUAACCAAUGAUGUUUCUCGGUGACAUACAUAUUCACAAGGAGGAAAAACAGUGAACAAGUAUGAUUCUCGACGAUCAGACGCGUAAAGAGGUUAAUUGAGGACCUCCUCCGCUGUUAACGUGUACGAAGGUUGUAACGUCGCAGUGCAAAUGGUUGAAUAGUCAAUUGCUAAUGUAAAA